GGGGGGCCCUUACCAAGGGCAAGUUCGAACGAGACCUUCGGGUUCUAGUGGCGCACGGGUGCGUAACGCGUGGGACUCUGCCCUUGGGUUCGGAAUAACAGUUAGAAAUGACUGCUAAUACCGAAUGAUGUCUUCGGACCAAAGAUUUAUCGCCCAGGGAUGAGCCCGCGUCGGAUUAGCUAGUUGGUGAGGUAAUGGCUCACCAAGGCGACGACGGGUAGCCGGCCUGAGAGGGCGACCGGCCACACUGGGACUGAGACACGGCCCAGACUCCUACGGGAGGCAGCAGUGGGGAAUAUUGGACAAUGGGCGCAAGCCUGAUCCAGCCAUGCCGCGUGAGUGACGAAGGUCUUCGGAUUGUAAAGCUCUUUUGGCGGGGACGAUAAUGACGGUACCCGCAGAAUAAGCCCCGGCUAACUUCGUGCCAGCAGCCGCGGUAAUA
rnacentral:rRNA from 1 species